CCUUCUUUCUGAAAGUUCUAGCGUCUCCUAGGAGCACCCGGCUAGGGACCAAACUUGCACCCGUGAGCCAUAGAAAGAGCAGGGCAAACAGAAGAACGCCCAGUUGCAACUCCUGAGUGUGAGCGAACUUUUCAGACUAUUAACCCUAACCAACCCAGACGGGGGUAGGACCGACCUGUGUUCCUGUCUGACCUGUGUUCCUGUCUCGAACAUUCCCCGCUCUGCUGUGGGUAACCACGUGGGUUCCUACUGGUCCAAGAGAGGUAGCAAUGGACAGCUGCUGAAAGCUGCUCUCUCCAGCUGCUGGAGGCCAGAGAGGACAGUUAGCGGGCACUAAAUGUGAGGGGCUGCACUUUUUCUGUUGGUGAACAUCUCUUCCAGUGGAAUGAAGGGACCUGUAACUCACUGAUAACAGUUCCAGGACCACAUUCCUUUCUGGUUAGCGUCUGUAAGGGCUUCAUAAGAACUCCUGUUUUGGAAAAGCCUCCCUCAAGACCUGUGGGUUAACGUACUGGUUUUAAACGUCCUGACGUUUUCUAUGCUUAAGAUCCUCCUUCUGUUGAUUUUGUCCAUGAGUAGGAUCUUGCCCAGCUAUAAUAUUGAUCACGAUUUAAAGUUUCAGUUUGGCAUAGUGUCAUACUGCCUUCUUUUUAAGACAAC
rnacentral:lncRNA from 1 species